rnacentral:rRNA from 1 species
GUGGGGAAUAUUGGACAAUGGGCGCAAGCCUGAUCCAGCAACGCCGCGUGGAGGAAGAAGGCCUUCGGGUCGUAAACUCCUGUCAGUUGGGACGAAAAGCCAUCGGACAAUACCCGGUGGUCAUGACGGUACCAGCAGAGGAAGCCCCGGCUAACUCCGUGCCAGCAGCCGCGGUAAUACGGAGGGGGCAAGCGUUAUUCGGAAUUAUUGGGCGUAAAGGGCGCGUAGGCGGCUUGGUAGGUCAAAGGUGAAAUCCCUCGGCUCAACCGAGGAACUGCCUUUGAAACCGCCUCGCUUGAGGCUGGGAGAGGGCAGCGGAAUUCCCGGAGUAGCGGUGAAAUGCGUAGAUAUCGGGAGGAACACCAGUGGCGAAGGCGGCUGCCUGGACCAGUUCUGACGCUGAUGUGCGAAAGCGUGGGGAGCAAACAGG